rnacentral:lncRNA from 1 species
AGGAGUAAGGUUUCAGCUUCUUGUGUGUUUCCACUGAACAACAGUAUAUGAGCCAUCCUCGACUCUUUUGAUGGAAGAUCUUUGAUGAAAUUGAUGUACUGAACCUUGUCUAUCUCACCAAUUGAUGCAUAAGCAAUUUCUGCAGUAGCCAUGUCCUUGUUGGCAACUGCCAUAGCAGCUAAACACGCCCACAUGGUUUGAUCCUUGACAAAGCGACACAACCUGACAGCAUCUUCC